GCAUAACCCCGGGAACUGGGGAUAAUACUCCAUAGAUUAGAGACACUGGAAUGUUCUUUAGUCGAAAGUUCUGGCGCCUUAGGAUGGAUCUGCGGUCGAUUAGGUUGUUGUUGGGGUAACGGCCCAACAAGCCUGUAAUCGAUACGGGUUGUGGGAGCAAGAGCCCGGAGAUGGAAUCUGAGACACGAUUCCAGGCCCUACGGGGCGCAGCAGGCGCGAAAACUUUACAGUGCAGGAAACUGUGAUAAGGGAACUCCGAGUGCCCGUAUACGCGGGCUGUCCAGGUGUUUAAAAAUCAUCUGAAGAAAGGGCCGGGCAAGACCGGUGCCAGCCGCCGCGGUAAUACCGGCGGCUCGAGUGGUGGCCACUAUUAUUGGGCUUAAAGCGUCCGUAGCUGGACCGAUAAGUCUCUUGGGAAAUCCGCCGGCUCAACCGGCGGGCGUCUAAGGGAUACUGUUAGUCUAGGGACCGGGAGAGGUGAGAGGUACUCCGGGGGUAGGAGUGAAAUCCUGUAAUCCCCGGGGGACCACCGAUGGCGAAGGCAUCUCACCAGAACGGCUCCGACAGUGAGGGACGAAAGCUGGGGGAGCGAACCGGAUUAGAUACCCGGGUAGUCCCAGCCGUAAACUAUGCGCGUUAGGUGUACUGGUGACCACGAGUCACCGGGGUGCCGAAGGGAAACCGUGAAACGUGCCGCCUGGGAAGUACGGUCGCAAGGCUGAAACUUAAAGGAAUUGGCGGGGGAGCACAA
rnacentral:rRNA from 1 species